GAGCCCCGCGCUUGGGGGGUAACCCGAGCCCUCGAAGCCCGUGAAGCUGCAAGGGCGGCUUAGCUUCAGUGCUUUGGCUGAGAACACCUUUAAAGCUUAAAAUAAAACCUGCCUGCGGGGUACGGAGGACAGAGGAGGACGCGAACCAGCGCCCACCCCACAUCUCUGGUCUGUAAAAUAGGAUGCUCAGCGCUGGGACUACAGGACCCGGCGGCCGGUCCCCCCACCCACGUCCCCAGCCAGCCCCAGAUGCCCUCCCACACUUACAAAGGAAAUGCAGGCGGCCAGGAGAAGGAUCCGCACCAGCAGGUCUUCAAACUGCUCUAUCACCAACUCCCACAGGGACUUCCCUGAGGGAAGAGGCAAGGGAGCUCUAUCCAGGGGAAAAGAAGAAAAGGACAUGUUCAUUUGGGGUUCAGCCUCAUGCUGCCCACACCCCGGAUUUUGUGGCUAAGAUGAGGAUACCAAGGCCCAGAGUGGCUGCACCUUUCCUUGGUCACACAGCAAAGGACUGGAAGCCA